UACGGAGGGGACUAGCGUUGUUCGGAAUUACUGGGCGUAAAGCGCACGUAGGCGGAUUUGUAAGUCAGGGGUGAAAUCCCGGGGCUCAACCUCGGAACUGCCUUUGAUACUGCAAAUCUCGAGUCCGGAAGAGGUGAGUGGAAUUCCUAGUGUAGAGGUGAAAUUCGUAGAUAUUAGGAAGAACACCAGUGGCAAAAGGCGGCUCACUGGUCCGGUACUGACGCUGAG
rnacentral:rRNA from 1 species